ACUUAAAUUGAAGAGUUUGAUCAUGGCUCAGAUUGAACGCUGGCGGCAGGCCUAACACAUGCAAGUCGAGCGGCAGCGGGAAAGUAGCUUGCUACUUUUGCCGGCGAGCGGCGGACGGGUGAGUAAUGCCUGGGGAUCUGCC
rnacentral:rRNA from 1 species